rnacentral:lncRNA from 1 species
AUGACGGUGGGAGGCGGAGGCAGUGGCGGGAGCACUAACUACUGGGAAGGUCAGGAGACUUCCAGGGUUGUAAUUGGGGGCUACAGGGCCCCAUUUUUGGGGGCAAACCGAGGGCAACAGGCCACGCUCCAAGGGGGCAAGUGCGGAGCAGGGUGCCUAUCCAAAGACAGCGCCAACCGACAUGACAUUACCACCCGACCCCCUCAAAAGGCCCAAAAAUACCCCAAACUGGCACCAGGAAGCCUUCACAUUACCACCAAACCCCUCACAGAGGCCCCAAAACUCCCAAAACAGGGCCCAAACGAACAUGGCAUUGGCACUAAACCCCUUCAGAAAAGACCUAAAUUCCUCUAAACAGGUGCCAAAACCCCUUUCAUUGUCACUAGACCCCUUCAAAACUAAACCCUAAAACUUUCAACAGCAGCAGCAGCAGCAGCAACAACAACAACAACAACAAUAUGGUAAAUAAUAAUAAUAAUAAACUCCCCCUUGCUGUACAGAAAGGUGGAAUAUAAAUAUCAUAAAUAAUAUAAUAUAACCUCACUACAAAAAUGUUGACUUCUAAAAGGCACAUUGCGUUCUAAAAUCCAGAACAUUUGAUAAGCGAAAAUUUUACCUAAUUGCAACAUUCAUACUUAUCACCAACACUCACACACACACAAAAACCAAAUAUUCUAUAUUCACAACAUUUACGAAAUAAUAUCCCCUCAAAACGCAAUGUGUUAAACCGCUGACCUACUGAACUACUGGACUAAAAUGUCACAGAUUUGAAUUGGGGGACCGCACACAACCCCCACUGUUAACCUCAACUUCUACCAACCCUAAACUUCAAAAACAUACAAAUAACACUACAUGAAUAGGUACUCCUCCGCCGACAAGGUAACGGCCCUCCAUACAAUCAUACCACAUGACCUUAGAGGAGUCUACGGACAAUGCCGGCUCUUCGACUUAAAAAUACACAUAACCACCAACCCCCAGAGUCAGACACGACUCCACUUAAUGUCAAGGCAAAACCUUUACCCUUUAUCAUAACUACCACCAAUACCUCAAUACUUUAUUUCCCAUACCACCAUACUUUGCCACAGCAACGCAUGGCCGGGCACAGCUAGUUUUAUAUAUAAGAAAUAGAAACAGUACAGAAAGAUACAAGUUACACAAUAAGUCAUGAAAAACAGAUACAAUUUAUUAAAGGGUUAGAUAUGAUAGAUUUUAGGGGUUUACAGUUGCUGGUGGUUCGGUCUCAAUCUUCUGAUGCUUUGAACUUGCUCAAAGUCCUUCCUUUACAAGUAAUGGGGGAAUGAGAUCUCUCAGUUGAAGGAAAAUGACUGAACAAUUCCAAUUUAAAAUAUUGUAGUCACAUGUCCAUUGGCAUUGAGAAGGUGUUAGAAUGUUGAAAAAGCCAGUGAAUAUUCUAGUUAAUUUAGAAAUACAUUUCAACAAGCUUUGUUUCUGGAAAUGUUUCUCCUUGGGUGAAAAAUUAUGUUAAUAAUGAUCUACAUACAAGAUUUCAUUAACAGGUUUCUUUUUCUUGUUUUGCCCCAGCUCUGCUCUGCGGAAUCUCCAAGGCCUCUAGAGAAGAUUUAUGGAAUGGGUGAAUGGGAAAGGUGGGGGAAUUACAUGGGAAUAGGAAUCCAUUCUCUCAGAUGACUUGGUUUUGCUGGCAGAUGGACACCAAUUAAUGUUGUUUUAUGACCUUGCAGUUUAUUUGAAUAGUCAGAGAAAGAUGGUGGGAAUAAGGGUGCUGGAUUAAUGGGAUACUUGUUUACAGGUUAUCAGCAUUUCUCACCUGACAGGAUAUAGGAUAGCACUAUUUAAUUUUUUAGGUAAGGUGCUGAUGAUUCAUUGAGUAAAUGGCUUUAUUUAGAAGAGUAAGAUUAUUUUAAAUAACAGAUAUUUUAGAGAAAGGAAUAAGGGGUAUCUAGACUAUAUUACUGAAAUUAGUUCUAAAAGUGUAUUUGAUAUCAAGCAGUAGAACAAAGCUCUCCUGCAACAGUGUUGAAUUCAUUCCAAUCACAGCUUGUGAAGUCCACUGCACUAAUGCUGGUAGACAGCUGAGAGAUCUGAAUGAACAAAGAAAAUACAAAAGCUGUGGAAUGAAUGUCUGGAAUGUAUAUCUCUUGAUAGUCAUCAGUGUUGCUUUCUAAAAAUUACUGUGGCUUUGUAAUCAGUGAAAAAGAUAAAUGGUCUGUGGAAAGACAAGAAAAAUAUACAGCUAGGAUCUUGCUAUCAACAUACACAAAUGUAAGUCAAAUGUACCUUUGUAUCUUUAGGGUCAAUGUAGAUGGCAGGAUUGAGCUUCAUCAUCUGAGCUGACCCCCUUGCACAUUCAUCCUACCCCCCAUCCCCGAUUCUUACCACCCCACAGUGACAAUAGGAUGAUGAGUCAUCUGGCGGCUGACUGUGCUUCAGCAAUUAUUUACAAAAUGAAAAAGUCACCUUCCUGGAUCUCCUGAGGAUCUUCUAGGUGAGCCUGAAAGGUGAUUUCAUCUGGCUGAUUCUAGCUGCUGAACCACAACCAACCAUUGCCUGGGGGCUACACUACCCCAUACUCUCAUCACUGAGCAGCCUUAUAUUGUUCUGUAUUGUUCUAUCACAGUAAUUAUUUCAUAUUACAGUAGAAUCUCACUUAUCUAACAUUCGCUUAUCCAAUGUUCUGGAUUAUCUAACUCAGUCUGCCUUUUAGUAGUCAUUGUUUUUGUAGUCAGUGUUUUAAAUACAUUGUGAUAUUUUGGUGGUAAAUUUGUAAAUACAGUAAUUAUUACAUAGCAUUACUGCACAUGGAACUACUUUUUCUGUCAAAUUUGUUGUAUAACAUGAUGUUUUGGUGCUUAAUUUGUAUAAUGAUGACCUAAUUUGAUGUUUAAUCGGGUUUUCCUGAAUCCCUUCUUAUUAUCCAACAUAUUCACUUAUCCAACGUUCUGCUGGCCUGUUUAUGUUGGAUAAGUGAGACUCUACUAUAUAUUGAUAAUGUUAUAUUAUCUGUGUAGUACUGGAUUAUAUGAGGCCCCUUCUUCACAGCUGUAUAAAAUGCACACUGAAGUGGCUUAUAUGGCAGUGUGGAGUCAAGAUAAUCCAGUUCAAAGCAGAUAAUAUAAGAUUCUAAAUGGGUUAUAUAGCUGUGUGGAAGGGCCUUGAGUCUACACUGCCAUAUAAUCCAGUGCAAAUUAGAUAAUCUGUGGAAGAGGCCUAAGUGAAGCCUAACUGCCUGUCCCCUGGGCUGAGUCGGUUGCUAGGAGACCAAGUGGGCGGAGUUUAGCCUUCUAACUGGCAGCAAUUGGAUAAAAACAAUUAUUCCUUUCCCUCUAAUUAGGACUUUAUUUUUCUUUUCUUUUUGUUGUAUCAACCUAGAGCCAUGGAUGAUGGGUUGUGUUGUCAAAUUUUGAGGCUGGGGAGCCUGUAGUUUUGUUGUUUUGUCUGCUGCCCUGAUGCCAUCACUCUUUUAUAUAUAUAUAGAUUGGUCUAAUGAAGGGAAGUACUGUACAAGUUUGCAAAAGGGGAUGAUUGCAAAGGGGUGAAAAUUACACUGAUUCCUCCCUCCCUGUCCUCCUCCCUCAUUCUCUUUUUCAUUCCCCUUUUGCUUUUGUUUUUCUCUUUCCUUCCUUGUUUGCUUGCUUCCUUCUUUUCCUCCCUCUCCCUUUCCCUUUUUCUGUCUCCUUGUCUUCAUCUCUCCCUCCUUUCCCUUCCCUUCCCUCCCUUUCUUCCAUAGCAGAGUUUUAUAAUUACACUGGACUACUGAAGGGAAGCACAGGCUUGCAAACAGAGAUCGUUGCAAAGGUUUAUAAUUACGCUGGUUCCUCCCUUCCUGUCUUUCUCCCUCAUUCCCUUCUUCCUUGCCCUUUUGCUUUCAUUUCUCUCUCAUUCCUUCCUUCCCUCCAACCUCUUUCCCUUGCUCUCUUUCUCCCUCCCUCUCUGUCUUAUUCCCUCAUUCCCUUCCUUUUCUUUCUCUCUCUCUCUCUCUCCCCCCUCCCUCCCCCCUCUCUCCUUCCUUCCUUCCUUCCUUCCUUCCUUCCUUCCUUCCUUCCUUCCUUCCUUCCUUCCUUCCUCCCACAACAGGGCUUCCCUGAUUUUUUUUAAAAAGCAAUACGGAGAGGGAGGGAAAAAAGAUUCUCCCUGUGAUGGUUUGAACACAGGAAACAACAGGGGAAAAACUGAAGAAGCAAACACCUGUGAUGGGAAGACAUUACUUGAAACAGGAUUACAGUAGAGUCUCACUUAUCCAACGUUCUGGAUUAUUCAACGCAUUUUUGUAGUCAAUGUUUUAAAUGCAUUUUGUUAUUUUGGUGCUAAAUUCAUAAAUACAGUAAUUACUACAUAGCAUUAAUGUGUUAUGAACUACUUUUUCUGUCAAAUUUGUUGUAUAACAUGAUGUUUUGGUGCUUAAUUUGUAAAAUCAUAACCUAUUUUGAUGUUUAAUAGGCUUUUUCUUAAUCUCUCCUUAUUAUCCAACAUAUUCGCUUGUCCAACGUUCUGCUGGCCCAUUUAUGUUGGAUAAGUGAGACUCUACUGUAUUGGUGUUCAAAAGGUAUGAUUCUCUUCGCUAGACAGACUAUCCCUCACAUCUCUCAAGGUCCAUAGUCACAGUGAUCUUGGCCACAUUCUUUUGAUGUCAUUUGUAUAUCUGGUCUGGGAAAAACAGGAUUAAGGCAUACAUUGUAGGCAU